CGUAUUCUAAAUAAUGGUGGCCACAUUGAAGAAUAAGGUAUAUAAAAGAAUUAUUAACAAAUUUUUCUUACUUGUAACAAUAUUUGUUUCACAUACGAUUUUUGUAAGAACAUAUUUUUUAUAACUUUGAUUUCUCGUCAGAUAUUCCAGCGUACUCACUUAAACAGAACACUUUGUACACUGUAUCAUCGUUAUAAUUACGAUUUUUAAUUAUUUAGUCAUUUGCAAAUCAAACGAUUUUUUACUUAGGCCGAUAACAUGAUAUAAACCUAUUACUACUGAAAAUAAAAAUGUAUAAUAUGCUAUUUAAAAAAAUUAAUUGAACAAGAAGUAUUCCAUACGCUCAUCGCCAAGAAAAGAACUUAUUACUGGAAUUCUACGAUUACCACAAUUCUCGGUAACUUUCAUAAACAAUAUUUUCCCUGAAUUCUAGAAAUAUCGGUGAUGCUCUGAGUGGACGCAGUUGCUAUUGCCAUAUGUUAUGGAAUUCCCACAUCUUUAAGCCUAUUUCAGUGUUCAUAACGUUUGCCCCUAACUUCGUGACUCUUUCCUGUAUUUUAUCGCGUAAUUCAUCGAUUUACGAUCAUUUUUCAUACAAAAACUUUUUCAUUUUGAUAUUCAAUAUCUUGGCUUAUUACAAUUGCCCACACAAUUCUAAUUUUUUUAAUCACCUUAAUAUUACGUAUUUCAACUGCUUUUACACGGUAAUAAAUGUUUAAUACGAAGCUGAAUAAGAAUUUGAGUAGCAAAGUGGUUGAGUAUACUUGAAAGCGAUGUAGGUUAAUUUUUUAUGUGGGGCAGCCAUCUAUGGUACGCUCGUUGAGGUCCCGAACUGGAGACGACGCGUCACGAGUUCGAAUCCUCGCCCUGGUGGAUAUAUCUGCAAAGAAUGGAGACAACACCCCAGGGCCGUCGCGAUCACUCGCAGUUGAUUACGGUAAUCUGAUUCACUGUGGAGCUUUUAGCCGGUAAGAAUCCGGCACUACCUUCUGCUACCACCCUGUGUCCCCCGCCCCGCGUCACAGGGUGUAACGAGAAGGUGUCUAUGAAGAUUUCCUCCACGUAAAAAAAAAACUUUUUUGUAGUAUGAAAGGAGUGCCUUUCGGCGGCACUUACCGGAUUUUUUUUUACGAGGCUAUCCGCUCCUUCUGCGAGCAAGUUAUGCUCGUAAAGGAGCGAGCAGAGAGGGAGAGAGAGAAAAACUCUCACCCUUGUAGGGUAACGCGGCGGAGGGUUAAUUGAACUCGAGCUGCGAAUAACAGGGAGGCACUAGGAGCAAUGGCUUUCCCUAGUGUCAGAUUAAUCAACUAGAAAACUUAUAGGAUCGGCUCAGUAAAUAGUCUUACGAAAGAACAAUGGAUUGACUUCAAUCGCGCCAUCUGGUGCUACGAGCGUGAAAAACUGUUGUAAACAGACGAUGUAAAGGUUCGUGAUCAUUGUCGUUUUAUGUUUUACAUUUUACAUUUACAUUUGACAUGAUGUCCUACACGUCAUUCGUGUAAUCGCUUGUGUGAUAAUGAGUAGUAAUUCGUGCAAUAAAUCGUGUAAUCCAACAGCUGGAAUAUUAACACUAAGCUUAGCAGGCCUGCUGAAAUAACGGGUUUCAAAGUUUAUUUAAAAAUUGUUUACAGACAUUCCGAUUACGUCGAAUGUGGUAUGAUAAAAUAUAUUCUAAUAUGAUAAAAUAUACCACGUAUGUAGCAAACUUCGAGGCUAGAAAGUUUCGAAGGAAAUGAAUUUCGGUAUAUAUCUGUCUUGUUAAACGGAAGAUAGCCAGCAAAAAUGGUAAAAGAAAAAUAUAAAAGGGCUAAUUUUUCUCGUGAACUUCGAAAUGCGUCAAAAUGUCGCGUCACGUAAACCUGGUGUUAACAAAAAUGGAGAAAUUGAUUAGUCGGAUGAUAUAAGAAUUUACAUAAAGUUAGAUGAUCAAAAGAAAUAACAAUAAAUGUAUGAUUUUUAAUUCAAUUUUGAUUCCGGGGCUGGUAAGGUGCAAAUUGUAUAAAUUCCAUAAGGCAUUUAUAAAAAGAAGAAAAAGAGAAAUUGUAAUUUAGAUUAUGGAACUCCGAUCGUCAUACCCGUUGUAUUCCACAAUUUGUCCAUUUAUAACGUAUGUUUCGUCAUUAAGAAGCUCGCCAACACGUUCGA